rnacentral:rRNA from 1 species
CGAACUGUGCAAACGUUAUUCGGAAUCACUGGGCUUAAAGGGUGCGUAGGCGGUCGCACAAGUCAGGUGUGAAAUCCCCCGGCUCAACCGGGGAACAGCGCUUGAAACUAGGUGACUUGAGUGAGGUAAGGGUACGCGGAACUUCUGGUGGAGCGGUGAAAUGUGUAGAUAUCAGAAGGAACGCCGGUGGCGAAAGCGGCGUACUGGGCCUUGUCUGACGCUGAGGCACGAAAGCUAGGGAAGUGAACGGGAUUAGAUACCCCGGUAAUCCUAGCCGUAAACACUGAGCACUGGAGGGGAGGGGUUUCGGCCUUUUCCCUCGUAGCGAAAGCGUUAAGUGCUCCGCCUGGGGAGUAUGGUCGCAAGGCUG